rnacentral:rRNA from 1 species
GAUGAACGCUGGCGGCGUGCCUAAUACAUGCAAGUCGAGCGAACAGACGAGGAGCUUGCUCCUCUGACGUUAGCGGCGGACGGGUGAGUAGCACGUGGAUAACCUACCUAUAAGACUGGGAUAACUUCGGGAAGCCGGAGCUAAUACCGGAUAAUAUAUUGAACCGCAUGGUUCAAUAGUGAAAGACGGUUUUGCUGUCACUUAUAGAUGGAUCCGCGCCGCAUUAGCUAGUUGGUAAGGUAACGGCUUACCAAGGCAACGAUGCGUGGCCGACCUGAGAGGGUGAUCGGCCACACUGGAACUGAGACACGGUCCAGACUCCUACGGGAGGCAGCAGUAGGGAAUCUUCCGCAAUGGGCGAAAGCCUGACGGAGCAACGCCGCGUGAGUGAUGAAGGUCUUCGGAUCGUAAAACUCUGUUAUUAGGGAAGAACAAAUGUGUAAGUAACUAUGCACGUCUUGACGGUACCUAAGCAGAAAGCCACGGCUAACUACGU